UGAGGAAUAUUGGUCAAUGGGCGGAAGCCUGAACCAGCCAUGCCGCGUGAGUGAGGAAGGUUUUCGGACCGUAAAGCUCUGUCGAGCGGGAAGAAAUGCAUGGUGGCUAAUAUCCAUCAUGCUUGACGGUACCGCUAAAGGAAGCACCGGCUAACUCCGUGCCAGCAGCCGCGGUAAUACGGGGGGUGCGAGCGUUGUUCGGAAUUAUUGGGCGUAAAGAGCGUGUAGGCGGCCGAAUAAGUCAGAUGUGAAAUCCCUGGGCUUAACCCAGGACGUGCAUUUGAAACUAUUCGGCUAGAGUAGGGGAGAGGAAAGUGGAAUUCCUGGUGUAGAGGUGAAAUUCGUAGAUAUCAGGAGGAACACCGGUGGCGAAGGCGACUUUCUGGCCCUAUACUGACGCUGAGACGCGAGAGCGUGGGUAGCAAACAG
rnacentral:rRNA from 1 species